rnacentral:rRNA from 1 species
AGCUCCAAUAGCGUAUAUUAAAGUUGUUGCAGUUAAAAAGCUCGUAGUUGAAUUUCUGGGGUGAGUACGUGGUCCUUGGGUUCAGCCCUUGUGUACUUGGUAUCUCGCCUCAUCCUUGUGGAAAACUAUUCUGCCGUUCAUUCGGUGAAAUAGGGAUCUACAUCGUUUACUGUGAAAAAAUUAGAGUGUUUAAAGCAGGCAUAUUGCUGUGAAUACAUUAGCAUGGAAUAAUAAGAUAGGACUUUGGUACUAUUUUGUUGGUUUGCAUACCAAGGUAAUGAUUAACAGGGAUAGUUGGGGGUACUCAUAUUCAAUUGUCAGAGGUGAAAUUCUUGGAUUUAUGGAAGAUGAACUUAUGCGAAAGCAUUUACCAAGGAUGUUUUCAUUAAUCAAGAACGAA